rnacentral:lncRNA from 1 species
GACAAGAGAGGAUUUCUAGUGGAGGAGGAUGCAAGUUGCUGGCGUUGAGUCGACGGAUCAGCUGAACAAUCUACUUGGCGACAAGUUGAUCCGGAAAAUGUAAAACACAUGCAAGUUGCUGGCGUUGAGUGACGGAUCAGCUGAACAAUCUCAGACGUUUAUUUUUCUCCAUCGAAUCGUUAAUUCACUUCAUCUAUCCAUGAUUUCUCCGUGUCCAAUCGUUGGUUCACUUCAACUACCCAUGAUUUCUCUCCAUCUAAUUAUUGAUUCACUUCAUUUACCCAAGUACCGGUCCAUAUACUUUUCACCUACCCAUAAUUCAUCUCACUGGU